rnacentral:misc_RNA from 1 species
GCCAAAGAUUGAAGAGAGAUGAAGCAAAUGACAGAAACCAAGACAGGAAAGCCAUAACAGCUGACAACUGAUAUCUGCUACAGAAGUUUGCACGGCAAUAUGGAGUUCCAACAUCAAGCAGAAGAUCUGUAACGCUUGCUGUUGAGCUCGCUGCUGCUAAUGAUAGAAGUGAUAAAACCAAAUCUCCAAUGAUAAUGGCUGACAGAAUUCUUGGUUGAUGAGGUAAACAUUUAACAAAGACAGAAUAUACAUCCACUAGCACCAGAGUUAUGCUCCAUGGAAUAACAAAACCCAUGACAGUCACCAAAUAGCUGAAAGCAGUAUAACUGUAGAAGUCAAUGCCCAGACACAUGAAGAGAAGAGAAGCAGUUGAGAAAAUAGCCUGACCCAAUCUCAGAGCCAAGCUAGCGCUUGUCCCCAUUGCACCAGGCACCUCUUCCAUCUUCCAGCUCUACUUCUCUGUCUCUUCAUGUCCAAAACUUCAUUCCUCUGCAACUUUUCUCAUCAAUCACAAGAAUGAAAAAGAAACAAAUUAAGGAACAAAAAUAGUUAUCGUUUUGAAAUUGUGGGUACUCGGAAAGAUUCAAGAUUGUUAUUCUAUUGAAGGAAAUUGGAAGGAAAAGCAAAGCCAAAGGAACGCAAUGGUAACGCCCGCGUGGAGAGUUUUCUUCUUCUCUGG